GUCAAAGGGAAAACAAAAAUCGUUGUGCAUCAAACUCCUUAGGCUGCCGUGCAACUUGCCGCGCUUGCACAGUUUGGGCAAUCAAGCAGCACAACACCACACACUGCAGGGGCUUCCUUGGGAGAUUUCUUUGCUAGUGAACAUCUACAAACCCUGAAGACCCAGACAUCUGCAACAUCCUCCCGGGGCUUGGAUUUUACUAACCAUAACAUUGGAUCUACGGUCCAUGGAUAAUAAAAUGGGAAGCCUCUUCAGUCCAGAAAUCAUGGCAAAGUAAAGUUUUGAGGAUGGAUUUGAAAAUGGAUAAUGAGGAAGCUUUGCAGAAGUUUAUGGGGAAACCGUCCCAAGCAUGUGUGGCAGCCUGGUUGAAAAUGAAAAGAUGUUUGAAAAUUUAACAAGUGGGCAGUGGAGGCUGGCAUUAUGUGAUCACUGGAGGGUUCCUCGUUUGCUCUUCAGACACCAAAGCAGUGAGGACAACAUGUUUUCAAACCGUGUGCAUAAUGCAUGUCCCAGAGACUCUGUACAAAGCAGUCUUUCAAUAUUAUUAUGGUCUCCUACUAUGCUUGUCAGUGUGUCAUAUCAAUCAGUAAUCUGUUUAAAAUUCAUCCCUGUUCUGUGGGUCAAUACCAAGGCCUAGGGACACUUGUAUAUCAUUUAAGAUCUAUUUUCAAGUCAUCUGUGGUCCAUAGGCCAAAAUCCCAAACCAUGUUUAAUGAUCUAAUGUUGUACAAUAACUAGGUCAUGUUAACACUUUUGACUCUCUGGGCUCAUUUUAUUCCAUCAGAAUUAACAUAAUACCUUGCAAGAGUCUUCUGUACAGGGUAGCAUUUCACCCUAUGCAAAUAAGCAGCUUUUUGUGUGUACAGGACAGAAACUGAGCUGUAUACUGAGUAUUGCCUCCAUCCGAAUGACCACUAUGUGAAACAAUCACUUUUUAAUAACUAGCCAUGGUGAAAAGUUUCAAUCCUGUUUGUAUACCAAUGUUAAAUAGCCUUACUAGCACCCUGACUGUGAGAUCUGUUAAGCACCAGUAACCUCUGCUUAUAGCCAUGAGAGCAGUGGGUACUCACACUUUCCAAAAUCAGGCCCUUCCUGGUUACAACCAUGACAAAAAGUGGAAUUACUCCUUUUGUGUUUGUGGCCUAAUAUACUUAUUCUACAAGAUUUCCAGCCCAUGUUUACAUACUUAAAAAGAUUGGAGAGCCCUCCCAAGCAUCUAAUUUCCUGGGUGUGAUUCUGAUCUUAUAUCACUGGUUUACAAUUUUUGAGAAGUCGUCUGCUUCAGAGAUAAA